AGAGCUUGAUCCUGGCUCAGAACGAACGCUGGCGGCGUGCCUAACACAUGCAAGUCGAACGGGAUUAAGGGGCUUGCCUCUUAAUUUAGUGGCGCACGGGUGAGUAACGCGUGGAUAACCUGCCCUGGUAUCCGGGAUAACACCUCGAAAGGGGUGCUAAUACGGGAUAAGCCCACGGGGUCUUCGGACCUUGCGGGAAAAGGUGGCCUCUGAAUAUGCUGCCGUAUCAGGAUGGGUCCGCGUACCAUUAGCUAGUUGGUAGUGUAAUGGACCACCAAGGCUACGAUGGUUAGCUGGUCUGAGAGGAUGAUCAGCCACACUGGAACUGAGACACGGUCCAGACUCCUACGGGAGGCAGCAGUGGGGAAUUUUGCGCAAUGGGGGUAACCCUGACGCAGCAACGCCGCGUGAGUGAUGAAGGCCUUCGGGUCGUAAAGCUCUGUCAGAGGGAAAGAAGUGUAGCAUGGUUAAUACCCAUACUACUUGACGGUACCCUCAAAGGAAGCACCGGCUAACUCCGUGCCAGCAGCCGCGGUAAUAC
rnacentral:rRNA from 1 species